ensembl:lncRNA
UUUAACUUUACUUGAAGUAUCACAACAUGUAGCUGAUCUAUGUAGCUAGUUACAGAACUAGCUUACAGUUCUUCAUGUUGGAAAAACACCUUUCUUGUGAUUUUUAAACAUAGGUUUGCUAAAUUUAAAUUUCUGCUUUUCCUCACCACAACAUCUAACAGCUAACCCACUCUGAGUGCUACAGAGGGGCAUGGUUUCAGUGAUUACGUUCUAUACACUAAUUAACUCCUGUAUUUUAAUCCAAAGUAGUGAACUGGUAACCCAAAAAUGAUAAAAAACAAGUCUUGGCAGUUGCUUCUGUUUGGCAGUUAAUACAGCUUGGAAAAGACAAGAGUUCUAAUAACAGAAACAUAAAUCUUUAUUUUUUUUUUUUAUGUCUACAUAAGCACUGUUCUAAUACAGUUAGAAAUAACUCGUGUUAGUGUAAGCAUUUAAAGGCUUAACAUUCCCAAGUCCUUAACAGCUUUUUGUUUCUUAGGGAGUAGUCUUGCAUUGCCACUGGUUUCAGGCUGGUUCUAACAAUUCUUCCUAGAAAAAAAGGCAAACAGUGUGAGAUUGGGCACAUGCAGCACACAGCUGUGUUCAGUAACAUCCUCUGAACUGCCAGAUCCCUGAGACCAGUAAGAAGUUACAAGGAUCAACUUCCCCCCUCAGCCCUCUGGAAAAAAGCCAGAAACUAAUAUCUGCAAAUCCUAUUUUUAAAGACAUGCUUUUUGCAUAUCUAAGCAAAAUGUCAGAUCAUAAUAAACUACAAUUUUGUGGCAGCUCAAACGCCUUCUAUGUGGUGGGGAUCUAUAGAAAAUUUUCCAGUAGGAACCCAGGCACAUUACGUCUAUACAUUACACAAUGACAGUUUCACAGGAUGGUAAGCUGACACAAGAAAACAUCAUAUUUAGUUAUUUCAUGUUGAAAAACAAGGAACAGCCAUGUUAUUAGUUAUUCAUACUGGAUUACCAUUAUUACAUAUUACAUUAUAUGUACGUUUUUCUUCUCAGUGUCUGACAGGUUCAUAUAAACAACUGCCUGUGCUUGCAAAAAACCCUUAAGUGAUUACAGUGUUAGAAGUCUUGAACGGAUUUCACUAGUUCAUUCUCUCACUGGCACUGGUAAAACACUGGGUACUUCCAAUGAAAUUUUCUAUUCUGUUACUAUUUUCAACUCCCAAAAACAAACAGCAGCGUAGGAGUCUUUCACUACUUAAGACCAGACCUUUGUAUGAACACAUAUGUGCAAAAUGAAAACACUGCAUCUUGUGUUUAUUAAAAAAAAAAAAGAUUCACUGGACUAGUUCUUCAUCAAAACAACAUAGAUUUUAUAAGCCAAUUUGGUAGCUGCUAGGAGAUCACUGUAAGAAUAUCUGGCUUCACCAUGGACAACUAUUGGAUCACAAAGCUCCUUCAAAACUCAGCUCAGUUCACUUGCUUUUGCUUCUUGGUGGUGAGUGACUGCAAAAUAACUAGUCUCCUCUUCAAAGGUUGCAAUCACAUUUUGAUAGUUACUACUACAAAUGCCACCCUGUAAUAAAUUCUCGUGUAGUAUUUUGUUCAGGCACAGUGAGAAAAAGAAAAAAAAUUGGCAACAAAAUCAUUAAUCACUCAAGCCUGAAUAAUAACAAUAUAAAAAUCAUGAACUAAUGGCAAAUACCAUUCUGAUUCUUCCUUAAGCUUCUCCAAUUCCUACGCUCUCCGCUUUUAAUGAAGUUUUCUUGCAUUCAUACUUCUUUUCUGGAGCUGUCUCUGUGCUGCGCUUCAACUCAGCACCCUUCUCUCCACUACAUCACUUAGAAAUGCUGGAUGCCUCAGUGAAACACCAAGAAUCCAGACACGCGUGCUAAAGAUGCUUUUUGCUCAGUGUUCUGGAAUGUAGUUUCUGUAUGAGGUUUAGUUGACACACAUUGCACAAGAUGUGCACGGAGCGUGCAUUUUACUAGCGUUUCUACUCCAGACAGUCUACUCUUCAACAGUACUGCACCUUCCCAUGUUUCAGCAACUGGCCUGCUACAGUUGCUGAAAAAACAAACCUCCAGCAUUUUUUUCUUUGUAGGUAUUUCAUGAAGUUUUCAACGAACAACAAGCAUGUGAUGUAAUACCACUACCAUUUGUGAUUUACAAGACAAUCAGUUAUUUCUUCAGUUUGAGCUAAAACUUGUUUCUACUUUGAAUUUCCUUUCUGAUAACGGUUUCUAUAGUUUUAGUGUAUGCUAUCAAAUAAUUAACUCAGUGUGGUUCACUGUCCCACAUGACAUCCUGCUUGCCAAAUUGGAGAAAAAUGGAUUUGAUGGAUGGACCACUUGCUGGAUAAGGAACUGGCUGGAUGGUCACACUCAGAGAGUUGCUGCCAAUGGCUUGGUGUCCAAAUGGACACUGGUGACGUGUGGCACUCCUCAGGGAUUGGUGUUGGGACCAGUAUUAUUUAUCUAUGUAUCUUUGUAGGCAACAUGGACAGUGGGAUUCAGUGCGCCCUCAGCAGAUUUGCAGAUGACACCAAGCUGAGUGGUGCAGCUGACAUGCUAGAGGGAAGGCAUGUCAUCCAGAGGGUCCUGGAACGGCUUGAGAGGUGGGCCCGUGCCAACCUCAUGAACCUCAACAAGGCCAAGUGCAGGGUCCUGCAUCCGAGUCAGGGCAAUCCCAAGCACAGAUACAAGUUGGGCAGAGAAUGGCUUGAGAGCAGCCCUGAGGAGAAGGAUUUGGGAGAGUCGGUUGAUGACAGAUUCAACAUGAACCUGCAAUGUGUGCUUGCAGACCACAGGGCAAACCAUAUCCUGGGUUACAUCAAGAGAAGCAUGACCAGCAGGUCAAGGGAGGUGAUUCUGCCCCUCUAUUCUGCUCUCGUGAGACCCCACCUGGAGUACUGCGUCCAGUUCUGGAGCCCUCAAUGCAAGAAGAAUAUGAAGCUGAUGAAGCAGGUCCAGAGGAAGGCCACGAAGAUGAUAGAGAACUGAAGCACACCCUCUAUGAGCACAGGCUGAGAGUGCAGCGGCUCUUCAGCCUGGAAAAGAGGUGGCCUUCUCUUCUCUUAUAGCAGCCCUCCAAUAUCUAAAAGGGGCCUACAGGAAAGCUGGGGAGGGACUUUUUGUAUGGCCAGGUAGCAACAAGACGAAGGGAAUGGCUUUAAACUGGAAGAGGGUAAAUUUAGACCACAUAUUAGGAAGAAAUUCAUUACUGUGAGUGGGUGAGACACUGGGACAGGUUUUCCAGUGAGGUUGUGAAUGCCCCUCCCUGGAAGCAUUCAAGGCCAGGCUGGAUGGGGCUUUGAGCAACCUGGUCUAGAGGGAGGUGUCCCUGCCUAUAGCAUGGAGGUUGGAACAAGAUUACCUUAAAAGUCCCUCCCAACCCAAACCAUUCUAUGAUUCCAUGUCUCCUGAAAUGCAGGUAAGUUCAUAAUGAUUUGUCAGCAGUGAAUCAUGCCCCAUUACACUUCCAAUAUUGUCCCAGGUGUUUCUCGCUUCAGAAAUUUUGACCUGCGUUCCCACUUUGCUUUUGUUGUUGAUGAGAACCUAGUCAUCAGUCUGAGCUCAACCUCAGUGUUUCAGUUCAGAUUUCUGCUCUGAAGUCAUUCUGCUGAACUUAAAAUAAAAAGUCUGCUUCAUUAUAGAACAAAGCUGCAGGAUGCAGCAGCAGAAGUAUUUACUAUCACUUACCUCAUAAAACUGCAGGAGAGCUGGGGUGUCAGUACUUCGUCACCUUCUAGUACACACUCUUCACAUGCUUAGAAGCUUUCACCACAUGCCUAUCCCUGUGAUGCCAGGAAGAUCACCCAUGGCUACUGCACAAACACACUCUGUAAGAAGAGAGUUCAGCACUCCAGUAAGAAUAAACUUUGCUAAUUACCAAGGUAAGAGCCACAUCUGCUAGGGAUACAGUAUACUCUACGCUUUCAAAAGGGUAUCAAAGAACACUGUUUUUUUCUGUAGCACAACACCAGAAGACAUUGAUGACCAAUAUGGAGCAGUCCUGCAAAGGUAUUCGCUUUAUGCUACUCUGCUCCCACAGCCAUUAAUAACAAAAAGCUAAUGCAUAAAGGCAAAAGUAUUCUCUUUUGCUGAGUGUUGUGAAGCUGUAGAUACCUAUUUGCACUAAAAGAAACCAGAGGCCUCUGCAGGAGUCUGAAAGUUAUGUACAGCGUGUUCACAGCACAACUGUUCACGUUAUCCUGGUAAACAGGACAGCUGAACAGUCUGACGAACGGCCAUCAACAAUCCAGUUUUUCCCCCUUUAAAAAUAUCUAAUUCUUCUUUUGAAAACUCUGACGCAUAAAAUCUACUAUGCAAUUGCCCAACCAUGCAGUUUCUACAGGUUUUUCUGUCCUUGCAAAAACAGGGAGGAGAAAGGCAGAUAGCCAGCCCCUUACACAGCUUGAGCAAGAAUUCUUGUUUGCCUUUUUUGACACCACAUUCAUUUUAGAAGGCAAUGAAUGGGCAACACAAAGGCAAAAAUGGGAGUAUUAAAACUGAUCAUUUUUCUCAGCAAAACUGAAAGGUUUCAAUUCCCCAACAUGCAAAUUCUCCAAAAUUCAUCAGUAAACAAUGUUUUUAUACAGCAAGCAUUGCUUAGUAAGAAAGUUACAAGCACACCGUACUCCUGCGACGUCACGUGGUUGCACCGUUGCUUGCUUUGGCCACUGCCAAACUUCCACUUCUUUCGCUUGAAAGGAAGGAAAAAAUCAUGUUUUCACUUUAAAGACUGAGAUACCGAAGCAGUACAGUAUGAGGAGUCUGAAAACAAAUACAGCAAAUAGUUGUUCAGCUUCACAGGUCAGACAGCACUCAGCCUCCCUUCCUCCCAGAAACCCCCAUCAUUCUCAGCACUUCCAAUGCGACGGGUGCCUCUGCCACACCGCUUCCUGCUGCCUACCACAGCAACCAGGGAUUAAGUGGAUGGAAACCCACUAACAUCUCUGAAGGACGAGCAAAAGGGCAGCUACGUGCAACAGUCCCACUCAAGUUCCACACAUCAAUAAAGUCCUCAUUUAAGAAGGUCUGUCAGUGGAUGCCAUACACCUGACACCGCAGUGCUGGCCACACAGCAGAAACCUGCCCAAAGAGUUCAGCAGAAGAUGAUAUCAACAGGAAAUUACCAUCUUCCAAAAGGUUCUCCUUCUGGUCUGGACAGACUGAUGGGUGAUCAUCAACGCGCACGGCCGAUCCCCUCACGCACAGCACUGGGCCAAGGCGGGGAGCACGCGGUUGCGGGGGGAGGCAGGCCCGCCGCCAUAUCUCCCAGCAACCGCUCCCCGCCCCGCCCCUUAGCGGCCAGCCGCCUUACUCGCCUCGCCUCGCCUCGCCCCCGCACCUCCCGGUUCUCAGGCCCCAGCGGCAAGCGCCGACCGCCCCGCGGAGCAUCCUUAGCGAGCACGCACCGCCACCCCACGCGCAGCGGAAACGAGAACGCAGCCCCUCCAGUUCCCAGAGUGCCCCGGGAGGGCCAACCAACGCUCCCGCAAUGGGGGGGAGGGAGGUGCGCCGGCUCUACGGCAGUGCGGAGGGUCUGCGGCGGCCUUGUACAAGCAGGAGGCGGCAGCCCCGCUGUUGUUUCCCUGGGCUGGAGGGCGGAAGCCCGGGCAGGGCGGUUCGCAGGACCCGGAGUGGAGAGGCCUGGACAACCCGCUCCCCCCGCGGGAUGGAGGCGCCCGGAGGGAAGGGGCGAGAGUG